AUUGAACGCUGGCGGAAUGCUUUACACAUGCAAGUCGAACGGCAGCACGGACUUCGGUCUGGUGGCGAGUGGCGAACGGGUGAGUAAUGUAUUGGAACGUGCCCAGUCGUGGGGGAUAACGUAGUGAAAAUUACGCUAAUACCGCAUACGAUCUAUGGAUGAAAGCGGGGGAUCGCAAGACCUCGCGCGAUUGGAGCGGCCGAUAUCAGAUUAGGUAGUUGGUGGGGUAAAGGCACACCAAGCCAACGGUCUGUAGCUGGUCUGGGAGGACGACAAGCCACACUGGAACUGAGACACGGUCCAGACUCCUACGGGAGGCAGCAGUGGGGAAUUUUGGACAAUGGGCGAAAGCCUGAUCCAGCCAUUCCGCGGGCAGGAUGAAGGCACUCGGGUUGUAAACUGCUUUUGUACAGAACGAAAAGGUUUCCACUAAUACUAGGAGCUCAUGACGGUACUGUAAGAAUAAGCACCGGCUAACUACGUGCCAGCCGCCGCUGUAA
rnacentral:rRNA from 1 species